AGAAGAUUGGGGUGCUGCAGUGAAGCGAUACACGGAAUAAAUAGCACAGGUCCAUAUUUCCCGUGGUGAGCCAAGGUGUUCCCAGCUGUGUCCUCAGCUGUUACAGCUAGGACCCCAGAGAUAAAGAGCGGGAGCAGAGCUCUCAGAGGAAAGGCAAAGGUGACUUGGCACCUCCAUGUGUUGCUGACUGAAAUGGAGGCAAAACUGCUUAUUAAACAACCAGAAUUUGCAGUUUCCAUCUGCCCCAAGCUGGACUUCGGGCUAGAGGUGUAGCUGCAGGCUGCUGAUCUCCUAAGAAGCACAGGAUUUGGGGUCUGUCUGUGCCACAGUACCAAGAGGUUGUUUAUCUCUUUCUGGUAAGUAGAUGCAAUGUGGACACAGGUGUAGCUUUUAUGUAAC
rnacentral:lncRNA from 1 species